rnacentral:rRNA from 1 species
GACGAACGCUGGCGGCGUGCUUAACACAUGCAAGUCGAACGGAAAGGCCCUGCUUUUGUGGGGUGCUCGAGUGGCGAACGGGUGAGUAACACGUGAGUAACCUGCCCUUGACUUUGGGAUAACUUCAGGAAACUGGGGCUAAUACCGGAUAGGAGCUCCUGCUGCAUGGUGGGGGUUGGAAAGUUUCGGCGGUUGGGGAUGGACUCGCGGCUUAUCAGCUUGUUGGUGGGGUAGUGGCUUACCAAGGCUUUGACGGGUAGCCGGCCUGAGAGGGUGACCGGCCACAUUGAGACUGAGAUACGGCCCAGACUCCGACGGGAGGCAGCAGUGGGGAAUAUUGCACAAUGGGCGGAAGCCUGAUGCAGCAACGCCGCGUGCGGGAUGACGGCCUUCGGGUUGUAAACCGCUUUCGCCUGUGACGAAGCGUGAGUGACGGUAAUGGGUAAAGAAGCACCGGCUAACUACGUG